AGUUUUUAAUGGAAGCCUAUUUAUUUUUUUUUAGAAUUAUUAUUUUAUUAUUUUUUCAGAAAAGGUAAACAGAACCGAAGAUCGCUUACGUUUCCACACGGACCCGUUUUAGUGACGUACCCAUCUGCCGUCAGCUUCUGUAAGUUUGGUGACUUGUUUUAAUCGUGUUCUGUUCAUUUACCUGCUUCCUAAACAUAGGUGAACUCUUCUAAUGUCUACCAUAGAGACUUGCUGUAAGCUGUACGUGAGUAUAUUUUUGCUGGGAUACAUUAUGAGCUACUUAAGUUUUUGUUAGACAUGAUUUUAUUUAGUAUUUUAAUAAUGCAAGUAAUUAUUCAGUGCUGAACCUCUAAAUGAGGAUCUAAACUGAUUAAAUCAGGACUAAAGCAUGUCUAACAAAGAUUAAACCAAGAACCUGAAUACAUCUUUACCAAGGACCAAAAGCAUUUGAUGCAGGAGUAGAACUUUUUUCAUCUGCUGUAAACAUAUUAUUAGUAAUGAGUCAUUCAUUCCUUUCUUUGUGCAACGACAGACAGACGUCUUUUCUGAAUGGAGAAGAUGGAGGAUUAUCCACUCUACUGCAUCAAAUGAUUCCAGCAUUACUGAUCUGCACCCUGGAAUAUCCUGGAAUAAUCACUUGUGCAGUUUUGAUGACAUCUCUUGAAGUGUUAUGACCAUUGUUUUUCACAGAUCAAGACAUUUACAGAAGAUCGGGGACUGACAUCCUGCUGUGCGUUCUGUCAGAAUAUGAAACGUAUGUUAUUAUCUUCACAUGGUCUAUAAUUCAGAGUUGUUGUUCAUCUGCAUGUUUUGAGCCAGAACUUAAUAGUAGAAACAACUGGUCAUCUUGGUUUUUCCAUAUGCAAAACUUCAGCAGAUGCAGGGAAAGAAAGUCUGCACAACUGCAUAAUUAGCUUCCAAAUUUUAAUGUUUACUCACACCAAAAACGUGACGCCUUUCAUCAAGACAAGGCAUGUGCAAGUUUUGUUUUGUGCUACAUAUGCACAUUUAUAACCUUAAAUUAUAUCUAAAAAUCUAAUCAAACAAAGGCAAAAGCAGCUACCUGAGUAGUAAUUGUCAAACAGCAAAGAAAAGUGUGCCAUCAAAAUGUGCACAUUUACAGAAUGUCUUGUGUUUAAACUGAAUAAAUAAGAUUUCUUUCUUCUCCAGCUUCUACCGACAAAAAGACUACCAGAAAUGAAGAGUAUGCAUCUUUAUAAACACAAGCCAUAAGGGACUUCUGAACAGCUCUUUGUCUGAUCCGUCAACCAGAACCUGUUUGCUAUUGGAGACCCUACCAGGGGCACGAAGCCCCGACAACAGAGCUCCAGGAUCAUUCAGGUUCUCAAAGCCCUCCCUCCAGGAGGGCGGCCCCUUAUGAGAGACCAACAGGCCCGGUUAGAAUUGUGAGACCGUCCUUCUAUUGGACCCACCACCUGUAGGAGGAGCCAUGUGACUUGGGCAGUUCGGACGGUUCCCCACGACCCAGCAACGGACAAGUGGAAGAAGUUGGAUGGAUGGAUAAACAUAAGCCACAGCUGGAAAUAUGAUUUUACUUGUUUUUGGGAACAAGAAGGACAGCAUCAACUAAGAGAGACUGAACUUACUGACUAAAGACUCCAUUCCAUUCUGCACCACUUGUUCAAAUAAAACUCUCGAUUCUAAAAAGCUGACACAUAGGUUUCAGGAAAUUGCACACAUUUCAUGCUUUAUUGUUACAUCACCCAGCCCUAGCAGGGACUGAUUUGUAGUGAAGGAGUUUGAGCUUUGAAAUGACCAGAAUAGGUUUGAUAUAUGCGCAUGCACUUUAAAACAUAAAAAAAGCACUACAUGGCAUCAGCAUUUCGGAGGCAAGUGUUAUAGGCAUUUGAAAGGGAUGGAAUGCAUGAUAACCACAUUAUAUACAGUAUUAUAACAUGGUUAUUAUAAAUGCUAUUUUAAAAUGCUGUGAGCCUUUUUAGCGUGUAGGACAUUUAACCUACUCCUGGUCAGUGUUUUCCGACAUAAUGUUUUGGUUCAGUCUUGCAGGCACUGGUAUAGACUAAGACUUUCUUGUUUCCAACCUGUUUGUUUUCUUCUGGCUUUGAUGGCUUCUGGCUGUACAUUUCAACAAUUACGGUCUUAUGCUACUGCUAUUAAUUCUACUCAUCAGGAUUGCUCCCAUGUAUGUUCCCUGGUUGGUUUAUGGAAGUUAGUUACUGUAUGUGUACAACACAGUUUUAUGCUUGGUAAUGUUUAACGUUAUUUUUUUUUUUUACAUCUUUACAGUUUUACAUUGUUCUUUGGUCUUUGGGGUGUUCUGUUAUGUCUUUACCAGGACAUAGUAUACAACAUUUCUUGAAUAACAACCAGAUAUUAAAAUAUGUAGAGAAUUUUGAUAGAAUUUUGAGUGACAGGAUUCAUGAUCUCAUGGUGCAACACUAAGAAUCUCCAUAAUUACAUUAUUAUUUUAAUAGUCACUGAUCGCUAGAAAAUCAUGCAGGCUUAUUACGCUAUGUCACGUGAAAUAUAUGUGUUAAUAUGUAAAAGUAAAACAACUUGUAAUAUUCAUCCAGCAUAAAGGGUAAGAACUUAAUAAAACAUUUUGCAUGUGGCCAGAAUCUUCUUGAUAAGGGUAAUUACACUUACUUUAUGUGAUCCAAAACAGUAUUUGUAUACUUUAUCAUAUAGUUAGGGUGUGUGUGUGUGUGUGUGUGUGUGUGUGUGUGUGUGUGUGUGUGUGUUUUCUUUUUUAUCAAUUAGCUAUUGGCCCUGGCCACUUUUUCAGGAAUAAAAUAACAUGUUUGGCUAAAAUACAGUACAAAUUUCU
rnacentral:lncRNA from 1 species